ACCCGCUGAAUUUAAGCAUAUCAAUAAGCGGAGGAAAAGAAACCAACAGGGAUUGCCCUAGUAACGGCGAGUGAAGCGGCAACAGCUCAAAUUUGAAAUCUGGCUCUUUUAGAGUCCGAGUUGUAAUUUGCAGAGGGCGCUUUGGCUUUGGCAGCGGUCCAAGUUCCUUGGAACAGGACGUCACAGAGGGUGAGAAUCCCGUACGUGGUCGCUGGCUAUUGCCGUGUAAAGCCCCUUCGACGAGUCGAGUUGUUUGGGAAUGCAGCUCUAAAUGGGAGGUACAUUUCUUCUAAAGCUAAAUAUUGGCCAGAGACCGAUAGCGCACAAGUAGAGUGAUCGAAAGAUGAAAAGCACUUUGGAAAGAGAGUCAAACAGCACGUGAAAUUGUUGAAAGGGAAGCGCUUGCAGCCAGACUUGCUUACAGUUGCUCAUCCGGGUUUCUACCCGGUGCACUCUUCUGUAGGCAGGCCAGCAUCAGUUUGGGCGGUAGGAUAAAGGUCUCUGUCACGUACCUCCUUUCGGGGAGGCCUUAUAGGGGAGACGACAUACUACCAGCCUGGACUGAGGUCCGCGCAUCUGCUAGGAUGCUGGCGUAAUGGCUGUAAGCGGCCCGUCUUGAAACACGGACCAAGGAG
rnacentral:rRNA from 1 species